UUUGCUAAUGGGUUGCUUUAUCAAUGUUUACAUGCAGCCUUAUUUAAUUUAUUAAGUUUUUUUGUUUGUUUGUUUUUUGUUUUGUUGUUGUUUUUACAUUAGCCUUUUGGCCAACACAUGUAUUGAGCAUCUAUUGACUCCUGCGUCACAUGGGCUGGGCGAUCUUGCUCCUGUUUCAAAGAGAUCUCAGUUUAGUGACAAAGACAGGGAAAUAAACCAACAAAGUGGAUUCACGGGCUUUGGUAGGAUGAGAAGGAACGAGCCUUAACCCUCAGUUGAGUUGAGAAUAUAUGCAGUGGUGGGGGCAAGGGGACUGCUUGGGAAAGACUUUUCAGAAAAGCUGAGACUUUCCCCAGCCCUGGAAGGUCAAGAGGAAUGAGGUAGGUGGCAGAGGGCAUUCCAAACAGAGGCAGCAGCACGUGCCAAAUGCUGAAGCAGUGCUGCCUGAGAUUAGGACGUACAUGGUAAUUUGGCUCAAUUGGAGUGAUGGGUGCAGGGGGCGAGUCGUCACUUUCAGACCAGCAGAACCUCAGGCCUCUGGGAAGAACACACCGUUCUUUGCACCGUUCAAACCCUCUGCCGUCCUGGCCUUUCCACUCUCUGGGUGAGUACACAGGCUCCUCCUCUUUCUUUGUAAUUAGGUUCCCGGCAGCUUGUGUUUGUGCUACUCCAUGGGUCACUACUUGUAACGGACACCCCCCCCCCCCGUAUGCUUCAGUCACCUCACGUGACACGUGUAGCUUUCAGACCAGUGCUCAGGGCCAUCCUUGUAAUCCCGGGAACUCACAAAACAGAGAGCACUCAGCAUGUAUUAACUCAGACAUCCUGCUUGGGUAAAAAUAAGUAAAUAAAUAAAAAUAAUAGUCAGUGAAUCCAUCAAAUAGCUAGAAAACCUACCCACCUACUCCCACGCAACAUAUACGUUUUCACCUGAUACACUAAUACGUGGAUAAUUCAACAUUUUAAAAAUAGCUACACAGCUUUAUUAGACUUUUAUAAUGAAGCUUGCAAGGCUACUGUUUAGAUAUACAUAUAAGCUAAAUUAUAUGCAGAGAAAGCCAGUUGGCUGUUGUUGAAAGUUGGGCAUACUCCAAGAGUGAAGAAAAACAAUAUCUCUGAGCUUCAGAUCUCCUUUAAGUUAUGAAGUUCACCAUAUUCAGCAGGUCCACUUAUGUUCUGUGGAGUUGCGUGACCUGGAUCUAUGUUGGCCUCAGUUUAUGCCGAUGAAUUAAAGGUUCAGGUUUUUACAUGUGAACUCCAAUGUACAACAUUGGCAUACUAGUCUCCUGGACAGGUGAUGAUGAAUGUUAUGGACAGGAUGGGCAUUAAGAAGAGCAUUGACUUUGAAAUUUAUAUACGUCAGCCUCCCAGUUUUAACACCUGAGUAGGUUACUUAGCUCUUCUAAACCUAAGUAUUCUUGAAUAUUCAGUGGCGAUAAUACCUGUUCUUCCUCGAUAACCCUGGGACACUAUGAGCAUGAGAUGAUAUAUACCUAUGUGUGUCUUGGAAAGUAUAAAAUGCAGUAUAGAUUAGAUUGGAUGUGAAGGUCUGAUGCUUAGGGAAACUACAGAUCUGUAUUUGAUAUUCUGUGGUCAUGACUAGGUAUUUGAGUAGAUGAAAAGAUGAGGACAAAAUAAUUAGCAUGAACACAGCUAAGAAAUCAUGGCUGAUGGGAGGGGAGCCCUCUGUCUGGGCAAGCAAACUAGAUUUUUGAAGAUAAUAGCUUUGAAUGAAAAAUGAGAGGUUUGCUAUCAUCCACAAUAACAAGUGCCUGAAUUGUUCAUCACACAGUAGUAGACACACAAUGUGUUUGUUCUUCCAGAGUUCUGAGGGCAGCUCACAAAGGAAUCAUUACACACCAUGUAGUUCAACAUUGGACAACCCCCAAAAGAGUGAAUACCUCAAAGCAUUUAACAGACUGACUUUGAAGAAACUUGUUUAUUUUUUCAAGCAUGUAGUUCUUAGAUGAACAGUUUUCCUCUCUAAUUAUCUGAGUUGUAUGUACCCCCUUUCUCCCAACUUAUUGUGAAUACUUCAUGUAGGUAGCCACUGAAGGCUUGCACAUAAAUUGGAAAAAGAUGCAUAAUUGUCCAGUAAUAAAUAUAUGGCGUUGUGGGGGGAUGACAUUGGAGGAAAAUGAAUGAAAUACUAGGAAAGACUGAUGUGGCAUGCAAACAAAACAAAAGAAAAAAGAUGAAGCAAGAUUGAGGUUUUUAAGAGGAAACUGAAGGAACAGGUAAAGGAAAUCAACAAGCAAGUUAGGUGGAAUCAACAGGAAAGGGACUUCUGAGGAAAGAUUUCUGGGUGUAAGACCAAGAAGCAAAAGCAUCAUGUGAUGGGGGGUACUCUUUAGGGAAUAUUUUUAUCUCAAACCUAAUUUUAUAUCCCAACUUAUAAUGAGAAAAGAUCUUCUUUCCUUAAGGGCUCUCUUGAACUAAAUUAGAGUGUAAAUAGUUAGAUGGCAUAAACUUGUACACAAAGCUGAGUUCUGUUUGUUUGUUUAUAUAUUUAUUUAUUUAAGAGAAAAAUUAAGUGGACUCCAUGCCCAACGUGGGGCUUGAACUCAUGACCCCAAAAUCAAGAGUUGCGUGCUCUACAAAAUGAGCCGACCAGGUGUCCCUAAGAUUUGAAUUCUGAAAUGGUAUUCGUGUAGCGGCCAAUUGGCUAGUCGCAAGCUUAAAUGACCUACCACAAUAUUGUUUUUUUGUGUUGUUUGUUCAUUUGUUUGUUUGUUUGUCUGUUUUUAUUCUCUAAACAUCAGAAUGAAGACUAAGUUUCUGUUAAAGUUGUAAUGAAGGAGGUAAUAAAUAUGCAAGUCGGGGUGGGGGUACAGCAGGGCUGUAUGUUCAUUAUGUACCUCUCCAGUGGUGAAAACAAGUAGUACUUUUGGCCAAACUGGGGGCCUCUCUAUGGUCCCUCUAUGGUUCGACAUGCAUUUAAACUAUUGUAACCUCUUAAGGCUGAUUAAUCUGUAAUACACGUAUACAUUAUAACCAUGUUUGAAUUUCCUGUUGAUAUUUACCAAAAAGAGAUUUAAGAGGGAGUAUUAUUUAGAAGAGAGAUUCCUGUUGGAAAGCUUAUUGAGCUAUUACAGGCGUGGGUUGUCAGGUGUCUGCUUUUCCUCUGCUAGUUUAAUCUUGAACGCUCAUUUGUCUCUUCUCCCGCUGUUAUCACCAUGGAUUCUUAAAGUUUCUUUAACAAUUGGUUCAUUCUUUUUUGUCUUUUGAAGAAUGUCAUUACUUCUGUGACAUUGUCAGUUAACCCAUUACUAAGAAAGAGUUAAAAUAAAAUAUGUGACUUCAGACAGAGUAUUAAUGCUCACGUUUAUGGAUGACGUACAUCACCUGUUGGGAAAAAGAAAUAAGAAGCUCACAAAUGGAGAAUGACCCAGUACUAUUGAAAUGAAUAGCUCAGUAUGUUCUCUGUGUUACUUGUUAUUAAAUAGCAGAGCUAGAGGAAGUCUUCCUGUCAAGGUAACAGACUUUUAAGUAAACAAUUGGCACAUAGGCAUGCCUAAAUCAGAUUUUCACACCUACACUAAACUAUGAUGCUGCUAAGUGUUUAUGGUGGUCCUCUUCCUCACAUUUUAUGAAUAUGUGAUCUAAUGGAUGUUUGGAUAGAGAAAUAAGUUUUUUAAGAGUAGGUCAUAUGGCUUUGUAUUAGGAUGAAUAUUAUGUGUAUAUACCUACAAAAAUUCUUACGGAGCAUCAUCACUUAGGAUACUUCUAGCUGCCGAUGCUAGAAGACUCAAUGGAUGGCUUAGUUAUUAAAUUUAUUGUCUCAUGUAAAGAGCAGUCUAGAGUUAGGGUAUUUUCAGGCUUACUUGAUUCAAGGGCUCAGUGACAUCAUCACCAGGGUUUUAAAAUCUUUUUUGCCUCUCAUCCUUAGCCUGUAGACUUUAGUUAGACCUUAGGCUUGUCCCAGCAUCACCUCCCCACAUAGACGGGUGCAGACACAGAAAAGGGAAGCUUCUCCACGACUGUGUCUAAUUGCAGUUUCCACUUCAUUGGCCAGAAUUGGGUCUCAUUACUCUGCCUAGAAAAGUGGCUAGCCAACUAGCAAUGAGACCACCAUUAAUUGUAUUAGUUCAUUUGUGAUUUCACUGCUGGGCUGGGGAAGUGUUCAGCCUCUGCUGAAGGACCUGGCCACUUUGGGGAGGAAGAAUAAAAUAAAGAUUCUGUUAACAGAGUAUAGUGAGUGUAGGAUGGCAGUUGGGUUAUUAACAGAGUCGUAUCUGCCAAAUAUCAAUUCACAAGAUUUUAUAACAUUGCUAAAUAAGAAAAACUACCUUAUUUUUUAACACAGAAUGU